rnacentral:rRNA from 1 species
CAGCCGCCACGGUAAUACAGAGGGUGCGAGCGUUAAUCGGAUUUACUGGGCGUAAAGCGUGCGUAGGCGGCUUCUUAAGUCGGAUGUGAAAUCCCUGAGCUUAACUUAGGAAUUGCAUUUGAUACUGGGAAGCUAGAGUAUGGGAGAGGAUGGUAGAAUUCCAGGUGUAGCGGUGAAAUGCGUAGAGAUCUGGAGGAAUACCGAUGGCGAAGGCAGCCAUCUGGCCUAAUACUGACGCUGAGGUACGAAAGCAUGGGGAGCAAACAGGAUUAGAUACCCCAGUAGUCCCUGUCUCUUAUAC